ACGGGUAGCCGGCCUGAGAGGGUGACCGGCCACACUGGGACUGAGACACGGCCCAGACUCCUACGGGAGGCAGCAGUGGGGAAUAUUGCACAAUGGGCGCAAGCCUGAUGCAGCAACGCCGCGUGAGGGAUGACGGCCUUCGGGUUGUAAACCUCUUUUAGCAGGGAAGAAGCGAAAGUGACGGUACCUGCAGAAAAAGCGCCGGCUAACUACGUGCCAGCAGCCGCGGUAAUACGUAGGGCGCAAGCGUUAUCCGGAAUUAUUGGGCGUAAAGAGCUCGUAGGCGGUCUGUCGCGUCUGCUGUGAAAACCCGAGGCUCAACCUCGGGCCUGCAGUGGGUACGGGCAGACUAGAGUGCGGUAGGGGAGAUUGGAAUUCCUGGUGUAGCGGUGGAAUGCGCAGAUAUCAGGAGGAACACCGAUGGCGAAGGCAGAUCUCUGGGCCGUAACUGACGCUGAGGAGCGAAAGGGUGGGGAGCAAACAGGCUUAGAUACCCUGGUAGUCCACCCCGUAAACGUUGGGAACUAGUUGUGGGGUCCAUUCCACGGAUUCCGUGACGCAGCUAACGCAUUAAGUUCCCCGCCUGGGGAGUACGGCCGCAAGGCUAAAACUCAAAGGAAUUGACGGGGACCCGCACAAGCGGCGGAGCAUGCGGAUUAAUUCGAUGCAACGCGAAGAACCUUACCAAGGCUUGACAUAU
rnacentral:rRNA from 1 species